UUCUUCUCCAGGAUCCCGCGCACAUCGUAAAGCACCUGCAACCGACAUGAAGACAUAAAAAUGAACGUUUGAGGACUCCAGGGAAGGAAUAAAGCAGGGCUGCGGCUUGUGGUUCGGGUGAUGGCCGUCUGGAUGUGGAAAUGAUGUUGGAUGUGGAGAUCCUGCAGUCCUCGGGCCCUACCCUGUUCCUUCCCGAAGCCCUGACCUGACCAAAGACCUGCGGCUGACUGUGGACGGAUUUCCUCCAGACACAAAGACCACCCUGGACUGUGAAACAGAUAAGCUCGGGCCAAUGACUUUACACAAGGAGCCCAUUCCUGUCAUUCUUGUUUUAUUACAAAAGGUGUUGAUUCCAACGCUGAGCCUUUGAGAUGAAACACGUGUGCAAACAACAAACCUUCUCAUAUUCACACUGGGCCACUAUCCUAAAUUAUACUGCAACCAUGUAAAUUCUAAAUUAAAUACAAGGUGAGGCUUCAAAUGUAUAUUAUAUAAGUUAAAGUGUUGGCUUUAGUUCCUGACUUUAAGGGUUUGUAAAACCAUGUGAGAGCUUCCAUUAAACCAAAUGAAAAUACCUUAUAGUCGCAGACACACUGACAAUUUGAAUUUUUCGAUGG